rnacentral:tRNA from 2 species
UAGAAUGAAGCUCGCUGGAUUGAGCGUUUAGCUGUUAACUAAAAUUUUGCGGGAUCGAGGCCCGCUUUUCUAG